CUGCCUUUGAUACUUCCAGCCUCGAGUCCGAGAGAGGUGAGUGGAAUUCCGAGUGUAGAGGUGAAAUUCGUAGAUAUCUAGAGGAACGCCAAAGGUGAAGACAGACGGCUGGGCCGAUUCUGACGCUGAGGCACGAAAGCGUGGGGAGCGAACGGGAUUAGAUACCCCGGUAGUCCACGCCCUAAACGAUGUGCACUAGAUCGAGGAGGUUCUGACGCCAUCUCGGUCGAAGCAAAAGUGUUAAGUGCACCGCCUGGGGAGUACGGUCGCAAGGCUAAAACUCAAAGGAAUUGACGGGGGCUCACACAAGCGGUGGAGCAUGUGGCUUAAUUCGAAGCAACGCGAAGAACCUUAUCCUGGGCUUGACAUGCAUGGAUUAACGCCUGGAAACAGGCGCCACGCUCUCUGAGUGGAACAUGCACAGGUGCUGCAUGGCUGUCGUCAGCUCGUGCUGUGAAGUGUCGGGUUAAGUCCCUUAACGAGCGAAACCCCUGUCGUUAGUUGCUAACAGGUUGUGCUGAGGACUCUAACGAGACUGCCGGUGUCAAACCGGAGGAAGGUGGGGAUGACGUCAAGUCCUCAUGGCCUUUAUGCCCAGGGCUGCACACGUGCUACAAUGGCAUCUACAGAGCGAAGCGAUACCGCAAGGUGGAGCAAAUCGCAAAAAAGAUGC
rnacentral:rRNA from 1 species